UCAGAGCUGAGCUGAAGAUCCUGGACGGACUUUCCCAGGCCUUGUGAUGGCUCGGUGCCUGGGCCUGUAGGGAUUUAGCCACCGACACUUGUGGCCUUGGGCCCAGCCUGAGCAUCAUGGCUGCCAUUUUGGCACUUCCACAGCAAUUUUCAUUGUCGUGCUCACCCCCUGCAGAAGCUUUGGCUGCUGGUCUUCUGCACUAAGUUAGUCCUUUUGUCACCAGGGGUUGUGGGCUAAAAAAAAAUUCUUUAUUUUCUGGCUGAGUGAUCUUUCCUGGGCUUGUGAUUCUGCUGGGCUUUUCCUAGGCUUCUGCCUGGCCACUGGAUUGUCAAUUUUGUUUUGGUCCAUGUGAGUCACACUGUCUCAGCCUCUUUGUUUGGACUAUCUUUAAUUUUCUUAGCUGUGAGCUGUUAAACAAUGUAGCCUUUGACCAAGCCUCUUCUACUAUCCAUUCCCUGGCUGUGCCUUUUUCCAGCAUGCCUCCCAAACCUCCUUUCGAGAAGGCUUCAACUUCCUGCUCAGCCACCAGGGGCCAGGCUGGUCUCCCCCAAAGAUCUUGGACCGAUCUUGCACCAGGGUCCAGAGGCCAGCAUUCCCUAGAUGUCCCCCACGAUGCUACUCCACCUCAGGCUGCUCCGUUGCUGAGUGAGGCUGCUGCCACUGAUCUAUCACAAUCCAUUUCUGAAUUAACUGCCAAAGCUACGUUGUCUAGCCAGACACGUGAUUCAGUUCAUGAUUCCCCUACAGCCAGGGUUCAUUCCCUGAGGGCUCCAUUGUUCACCAGCUCCAGUUCCAGCAGCUCCAGUUCCACCUCAUCAUCUUCCAGCUUGGAUGAAGACAUCCCUGGUAACAGCUCUGGUGCAGCUUCAAAACACAAGAGUCGGAAGCAAAAGCGCAAAUCUAAGAAAAAGAUGCAAAAGGUUUGCUCUCGGUGAUCUGCCGAUCUAGCUGUUGUGAGUGAUGCGUGUCCCAAUGUACCCGUGGGCAGGGAUAGCUUCUGGGUUAAUCGUGCUCUUGUCCCUGGCUUGCCCCGGUGGGCUAUUAAGCGUCGCUCCUGGCGCCCUGGUCUGCAAGGGUUGACCCUCAAGCUGGUGAUAUCCCUGUUUGUGCCCCAGGUGAAUGCCCCCCCUCCCCCUGUUCUCAUCUUCCAAAAAAGGUCCAAAAGCUCAUCUUAAGGGCUGGCAACGGCUCCUUGUUCAUCCACAUUAAUUGAUCCCCGUUGAUGUGAUUCCAGUUUGGGUCUGUGCUGUGUAUGGCCGUAGGUCAUUUGGGACUUCAUCCAGAAGAUUUUGGGGCCAUUCUGUCUGUAUUGGCGCAGAAACUUCAGCGGCACAGUGUGGACUGCCUGAGCAUUCCAUCAAGAAACUGGAGGCAAACCUACAGAAUGUCCUUAAAAAGGAGGAGGGGACGGAAAGAGAAACAAAGAAUCUUGGAUUUCCAUACCACAUGGCCAGAAGGAGAAGGGGCCUGCCUGCAUGAAUGUCCUUCCAUACCACUUGAACUGAGAACAGUUACAUCUCGACCAAAUGCAGGGUUGUAACUAACAUCGUCAAUUUUUUUUUCUCAUUCAGUGUGAUUUUUAAUACCUUUGCCUGGUGAAGAAACCAGUGGCGCUCCAAAAGUUUGCAACAUGUAUUUUGUGCAUUUUGGUUAAUAAAGAUGUAAUUGUUUUGUG